GGGGUUUGUCCCCUCGUGCCCCUCACACUGAUGUGGAAAUUGCUCAGCCCCUGUGACUGGCCUCUGGUGGCAGAGUCUCACCCCUGGAGAGACGGGGGGGGGAAGGCUGUGGCAGACCCUGUGCUGGUCUCCUCAACAGCCGGCCCCCUUCUCCCUGCCCAGCAGUGGACCACGUUGGUCUGUCUGCUAGUCACUGCACACGCAUUGCAGGUGAUGGGGCUGCCUGUCCCCUCAGGCAUUACCGAUGAAGAGCUCUCUGGCCAACCCCUGCCUCUCUGCAUCUCUGCCCCUUUGCCAGAGGGCUUCCUUCAGCAGCCCAACCAGGCAGCAAGCACCAGAAAACUGACACUCCAUUGGGAAGAGCCUUCAACCAGUGAUGUCUCACUCCCCUCCUCCCCUACUGAUGUUUCCUGGAAUCCCCUCCUGAACAAACCUACUUGCACUUGAAGCCUUGUCAAGGGCCUGCUUCUGGGGAAGUUAACCUAAGACCACAUGUGACCCAGUCUGGACAAAAAUGAAAGUCGGAAUGUGGAAAGUAGCAUAAACACGGAAGUGACGAGGGGCCAGGUCUAUGAUCUCUGUCCUCUCUGCUGCCCUGGCUCAGCAAUGGGGAGUGUCUGCAGCAGCUGUCCUGAGCCUUGGGGACCAGCCCUCAGUCCCCCACCACUGCCUCCUCUGCCCGGGGAGCUGGUGAAGGCCCCAGGGCAUGGCUGGCUGCAGGCAGUCCAGCCUUGGGGCCGCUUCAAGGUGUCCCCUCCUUGCCCCGGAGACAUGGGGUGUCUAGGCCCGAAGCCGAGUUGGAGUUGGCCCGGCUCUGAGUACAAGCACAGAGAAUGCCGAUUAAAUGUGCCAAAGAAUGGGGAGAAGCUGGUGGAGGCUCAGGAGGCUGGGGCGCGGGGGGCAGAGCAUCCCUCCCCACACAAGCCAGCCCCUGGCUCAGCUGCUUGCUCGGUUACAGGGCAAACACACCAGAUCACCCAGAGGUCACGGGCGGUCCUGGCCAGGGACAACUCAGCCUGGCCUCACCACCUUGUCCUCCCACAAAUGUGGUAAUGCCUCCCUUGAGUUAGACGACCCCGGGCAGGAGAGUGGGCUUCAAGGAGUCUCCUGGGCAAAGGGGAGUGCUGAUCUGCUGCUCCAGGGUUGAAAGAAAACCAGAGCAGGCGACUUCCCUGGAUACUGUGGCCGCCAUUAGAUUUCCAGAGCCUCAUCACUGUUCCAUUGUACACACAAGGAGACUGAAGCCCAGAGAGUGAAAGGGGCUCUUCCCCAGGACCUACAGCAGAACCCGGCUCAGAUCAGCUGGUCAGAAAGCAGAGACUCGGAGCCAACAGAGAAGGACCACGGUGUGGAGGGGGGAACGGUCCAGAAACAGGGCUUGCCCUGGAAGGACAUCUCAGCCUCUCGGGUUUCAGCCACUGUCUUGCAGGAAAUCGCUAUUUGGACUUCAGAGGUGCCUCUUCCUGCAGCGGCUGCCACGGAGGGGAGAGGGACGGGAAGGGGCCUUCCUGCCCACCUGGACCAGACCUUGAGUUGGGCAGGAGAACCCCCCCACCCUGGUCCUCCCUAACGUCCCUCGAACGUCAGCCUUGGGGAGAAGCUGGGUUGAGCGGGGACUGAACAGAGGCCCUCCCACCGUCCUCCGUCCUCCUGUAGAUAAAGAAGCACAGCAGAGAAGUGGAUGCUCCCCGCGGCCAUGGGGGCGGACUGGCAUCCCCUCAUCGAGGUCAGAGUCACAAACACGCACACCCCGAGGCCCAGCGAUCCCACCUUCAGGAAUAUUCUACAGAUACAGCUCAUUUGUGCAAAAGGACAUGCUCACACAAGCUUGUUUAUAACAGAGAAAUUAAUAGAAGGGAUUAAGCAGGAGCUGGGCAACUGGAUCAUGUGUGGUUCAUCCCUCCGUGAAGCUCCAGGCUGCUCUUCAAAGUGCUGAUAAGGAAGAGCCCCCAAACACAUGGUCAAGUGAUAAAAACGGUGCGACGUGCAUGGGAUUCUGACAUUUUGUAAAAAAAAAAGAAAGAAAAAUGAUAUGGGUAAAUGCUUGUGUAUGCACUUUUGAUGAGACUUUUGAACCUUUUGUACUUUGAGCAUACAAUAACUAAGCAAAAACAGAAACACAAACCAAAAAAACCCUUGAGACAAACGAAUAUUGAGGGGGCCGAGAAAAUGGGGCUUCUCUCCUGGCUUUGAUCUUGACUAUGUGACCCUGGGGAGGUCACUUCCUCUCUGUGUCCUGAGUUUCCUAUGUGGUCCCAGAAGUCGGAAAACCUUGGUGUUGGCAAACAUCCGUCAGGGCCACUCCACCCUUUGUUCCUGGAAGCAGCAGUCCCACCAGUUUCCCAUGAGGUCUCCACUUUUCAAGGCCUUCUUCAGCCAUGUCUUCUCCUCAGGACAAUCCAAGUCCAACCAUGAGCUGUCCUUUCACUCACCCUGGACCCCUCCUGGCUUCCUCCAGGUCCAAGAUGGGGUGGAGAGGGGUUUGGUCCACACAGCCCUCCCCGCUGUCAGCCUCAGUGCCCUGAUCUGCC